UACGGAGGAUGCAAGCGUUAUCCGGAAUCAUUGGGCGUAAAGAGUCCGUAGGUGGCGCAUCAAGUCUGUCGUUAAAGAGCAGGGCUUAACCCUGGAGAGGCGGUGGAAACUGAUGAAGCUAGAGUACGGUAGAGGGAAGUGGAAUUCCAGGUGUAGCGGUGAAAUGCGUAGAUAUCCGGAGGAACACCAGUGGCGAAGGCGGCUCACUGGCUCGAUACUGACGCUGAGGUGCGAAAGCGUGGGGAGCAAACAGG
rnacentral:rRNA from 1 species